GACGAACGCUGGCGGCGUGCCUAAUACAUGCAAGUAGAACGCACAGUUUAUACCGUAGCUUGCUACACCAUAGACUGUGAGUUGCGAACGGGUGAGUAACGCGUAGGUAACCUGCCUGGUAGCGGGGGAUAACUAUUGGAAACGAUAGCUAAUACCGCAUAAUAUUAAUUAUUGCAUGAUAAUUAAUUGAAAGUUGCAAUUGCACCACUACCAGAUGGACCUGCGUUGUAUUAGCUAGUAGGUGAGGUAACGGCUCACCUAGGCGACGAUACAUAGCCGACCGGAGAGGGUGAGAGGCCAGACUGGGACUGAGACACGGCCCAGACUCCUACGGGAGGCAGCAGUAGGGAAUCUUCGGCAAUGGACGAAAGUCUGAGCGAGAAACGCCGCGUGAGUGAAGAAUGUUGUCGGAUCGUAAAGCUCUGUUGUAAGAGAAGAACGGGUGUGAGAGUGGAAAGUUCACACUGUGACGGUAUCUUACCAGAAAGGGACGGCUAACUACGUG
rnacentral:rRNA from 1 species